rnacentral:tRNA from 1 species
GGUGGCUCAGUGGUAGAGUGCUUGCCUAACAGGCAUGAGGGCCUGGGUUCCAUUCCUCAGCACCA